rnacentral:rRNA from 1 species
AGUGAACGCUGGCGGCAGGCCUAACACAUGCAAGUCGAACGGCAGCACAGUAAGAGCUUGCUCUUACGGGUGGCGAGUGGCGGACGGGUCAGGAAUACAUCGGAAUCUACUUUUUCGUGGGGGAUAACGUAACGAAACCUACUCUAAUACCGCAUACGACGCACCGUGGUAAGCAGUGGAUCUUUUGACCUUUUGCGAUUGAAUUAGCCGAUGUGGGAUUAGCUAGUUGGGGGGGUACAGGCCCACCCAGGCGGCGAUCGGUAGCUGGUCUGAGAGGAGGGUCGGCCACCUUAGAGGUGGGACAGGGACAAGGGGACUACGAGAGGGAGCAGUGGGGAAUAGUAGACAGAGGGGGCGAGCCUGGUCCAGCCAUACCGCGUGGGAGACGAAGACGUUCGGGUUGUGAAGCCCUUUUGUUGGGAGAGAAAAGCAGCAGGUUAAUACCCCGCUGUUGUGACGGUACCCAAAGAAUAAGCACCGGCUAACUUCGUG